CGGACGGGUGAGUAACGCGUGAGAACCUACCUUCAGAAUGGGGACAACAGUUGGAAACGACUGCUAAUACCCAAUGUGCCGAAAGGUGAAAGAUUUAUCGUCUGAAGAUGGGCUCGCGUCUGAUUAGCUAGAUGGUGGGGUAAGGGCCUACCAUGGCAACGAUCAGUAGCUGGUCUGAGAGGAUGAGCAGCCACACUGGGACUGAGACACGGCCCAGACUCCUACGGGAGGCAGCAGUGGGGAAUUUUCCGCAAUGGGCGAGAGCCUGACGGAGCAAUACCGCGUGAGGGAGGAAGGUCCUUGGAUUGUAAACCUCUUUUAUCAGGGAAGAAGUUCUGACGGUACCUGAUGAAUAAGCAUCGGCUAACUCCGUGCCAGCAGCCGCGGUAAUACGGAGGAUGCAAGCGUUAUCCGGAAUUAUUGGGCGUAAAGCGUCCGUAGGUGGUUAUGCAAGUCUGCCGUUAAAGAAUGGAGCUUAACUCCAUAGGAGCGGUGGAAACUGCAAGACUAGAGUACAGUAGGGGUAGCAGGAAUUCCCAGUGUAGCGGUGAAAUGCGUAGAUAUUGGGAAGAACAUCGGUGGCGAAAGCGUGCUACUGGGCUGAAACUGACACUGAGGGACGAAAGCUAGGGUAGCGAAAGGGAUUAGAUACCCCUGUAGUC
rnacentral:rRNA from 1 species